AGUGGCGGACCGUUGAGUAAUGUCUGGGAAACUGCCCGAUGGAGGGGGAUAACUACUGGAAACGGUAGCUAAUACCGCAUAACGUCGCAAGACCAAAGUGGGGGACCUUCGGGCCUCACACCAUCGGAUGUGCCCAGAUGGGAUUAGCUAGUAGGUGGGGUAAUGGCUCACCUAGGCGACGAUCCCUAGCUGGUCUGAGAGGAUGACCAGCCACACUGGAACUGAGACACGGUCCAGACUCCUACGGGAGGCAGCAGUGGGGAAUAUUGCACAAUGGGCGCAAGCCUGAUGCAGCCAUGCCGCGUGUAUGAAGAAGGCCUUCGGGUUGUAAAGUACUUUCAGCGGGGAGGAAGGCGGUGAGGUUAAUAACCUUGCCGAUUGACGUUACCCGCAGAAGAAGCACCGGCUAACUCCGUGCCAGCAGCCGCGGUAAUACGGAGGGUGCAAGCGUUAAUCGGAAUUACUGGGCGUAAAGCGCACGCAGGCGGUCUGUUAAGUCAGAUGUGAAAUCCCCGGGCUUAACCUGGGAACUGCAUUUGAAACUGGCAGGCUUGAGUCUCGUA
rnacentral:rRNA from 1 species